AAAUCACUGAUUUUGUAUUUCUACAUAAAUAUGUCAUUUUUUAAAAUUUUGCAAAUUAAAUUUGAAUUUUCAGUAAACUGAUUAAAAUAGUCAUAUUCGUCUUUCUCUCUCUUUUAUUUUUCUCGUCCUUCUUUAUUUUGCUCCUUCUCCUCGUUCCUUUCUCUUUUUCUCUUUAUGUCUCCUCUCCCACCUCCUCCAUCUUCUCCUCCUCCUCACCCUCCUCUACCCUCACAUUGAUGUGGCACUACUCUCUCUUAUCUCGUCCAUAUUAAAUAUAAAAAUAUUAGAACACUGUUUUCUAUCAGCUUAAGUUUUUAGAGUACAACAGUUGUUUCAUAUAAUAUUAGAAUAGAAAGUCUUUAGUUCGAAUCACAUCAGGCUCAUAACAUUAUUAAUUUCAUUUCAUUUAAUUCAAGUUCAUGUCAUGGGUCUAUGAAAAGUCUCGAGCCCAGAUACGAGGAGGGGAGCUUAAGUUUUUAGGGUACAACAAUUGUUUCGCAGUUCCCAC
rnacentral:lncRNA from 1 species